UACAGAGGCCUCGAGCGUUAGGCGGAAUCACUGGGCUUAAAGCGCGUGUAGGCGGGUCGUUAAGUACCUUGUGAAAUCCCACGGCUCAACCGUGGAACUGCUGGGUAUACUGGCGAUCUUGGGCCAUCUAGGGGUUGCCGGAACAAGCGGUGGAGCGGUGAAAUGCGUAGAUAUCAGGAGGAACACCGGUGGCGAAGGCGGGUCUCUGGGCCGAUACUGACGCUGAGGAGCGAAAGCGUGGGGAGCGAACAGG
rnacentral:rRNA from 1 species